CUGUACCUUGUAACGUUGGUACCGACGACGAUGACCGCGAGUCGUGCAGCUUUCGUUUCGACAGCGUAGUCCGUGCACCGGUGUCCCGUAGCGACUUCGUCGUGACUGCCUCGGAGAACGUCUAGUACUGCCUUUGCUUGAUUGACGGACGUCGAGGGCGAAACAGAGCGAAGGUGCUGCAAUGCGCUGCCUUGCCACGACAAGAGCAACACACUAGGAUGACUAAAGGACGUAACACUUCUGGACGGGAAUUACAUGUUCAAGAAUUGUUUUGAAAUGUACAAGGAAGAUAUUGGCAUUCUCCUUGCGCCAUCAGCUGUUCAACAUCUGCGAGCUGCAAAGGCUCUCCUGUAUGACAAGGAAGCAGUAGACGCGGCAUUCGCAAUGCUCAUUUUAUGUACUUCCAAGGGAUGCGGCCAAAGGACGACCUGCAGAUGUGCGAGUCACGUUUAUGGGAGCUGCAAAAAAGAAUUAAAGUGUAUCCCCAGUGUUUGUUAUAUACUCUUAUUAUACUCUAACAGUAUAUUUCUGAACAAACCAUCUGAAACAUGGCGGAUCGGUGGCACUGCAGAAAGCCAAUGAAUGCUUGUCAAAGCGUGGAAAUACACAAAGCAGCAUACAAACUUGCCACUCGUGUAGCCGUUGCAUCUUUCCCUUGCCCCAAUGAAGCACGCAGCGCAGUGAAGUGGACUUACGAGCUGCUGUCCAAGGACACUGCACAUGCUCAACGUAAAUUUUUCUCGCUUAAAACAAAAAUCACUAUAAUUAAACUUUCAGAAUCGAAUUUCCUUUGUACACCCUUCCAAACAAGUGGAAUUUUAAUUUGACUGCAUCACCAAACUGCAUGUGCCUGAACACAAGUCAUGCAUUUCUUUAACUCACUCUCAAUUCCAAAUAGCGUUACAGAGGAGAGUUGUUAAUACAUGUACAUUAUACAACGUUAUGCAAAGCAGCUUGAAAAGAUUAAUGGUCUGGGUUCUUGGCGACAGAGGCGAGGAGGUGGUUCUAUUCAGAUGCUGUCUUUGGCAGAAUUGAAUCGAAAAAAAAAAAAAAAGGUUCGUCUGGCAAUUUGGCACUUGGAUUUUGAUGUGGUCUCUUCGUAUUUCUGUGUAUAUGGGUGGUGCGACACCCCAUUUACACAUUUUUCUAUGUUUGCACCCCUCAUUCUUCAAAACUUCUCGGUCAUCGACCUCCAUACUUUUUUGACACACUUACUGGCAACUAU